AGCACACGCUGACGUCUCUGUGUCCUCUUUUUCAUGGCCAGCACAGCGCACGAUGGGCUACGCAGCUCCCGGUGGGGUGCUCUUGGUGGUGCUGACGAGCAGCUUCCACAUAAAGAACAUCCACCAUCGCCACGAGGACGGCUGCACGGCGUUUGUGGACGUGACCGCCCUCGCGGUGAGCAUGGCGGCAGUGUCAGCCCUUCCGCUCCUCGCCAUCUUCCUCUGCUAGAAGAGCCCACAGCCUCUCUGAUCACACCACACAGGGGUGGCAGAACGAACGUGACUCCAGCUGUGCCGAAAAGGAGAGGUCCUCCAGGUCCUUUGAAAUGUCCCUGCCCAACAUCAAGGAUCCUGUUCCCACCUGCUAGACACUGGGGGUGUUUCACACUUGGCUGA
rnacentral:lncRNA from 1 species